UGAACCUGCNCGAAGGAUCAUUAAUGAAUUUUAGGACUCUCUUUUUAGAGGUCCGACCCUUUCAUUUCCAUACACUGUGCACACACUUCUUUUCACACAUUUUAACACUAUAGUAUAAGAAUGUAACAGUCUCUUUAUUGAGCAUAAAUAAAAUAAAACUUUCAGCAACGGAUCUCUUGGCUCUCGCAUCGAUGAAGAACGCAGCGAAUUGCGAUAAGUAAUGUGAAUUGCAGAAUUCAGUGAAUCAUCGAAUCUUUGAACGCACCUUGCACUCUUUGGUAUUCCGAAGAGUAUGUCUGUUUGAGGUGUCAUGAAACUCUCAACCCCCCUAUUUUGUAAUGAGAUGGGCGUGGGCUUGGAUUAUGACUGUUGUCGGCGUAAUUGCCGGCUCAGUUGAAAUACACGAGCAACCCAUUUGAAAUAAACGGCUUGACUCGGCGUAAUAAUUAUUUCGCUGAGGACGUUUUCUUCAAAAGUCAGAGGUGCUUCUAAUGCGCUAUUACAGCACUUUAAAUUUUAGACCUCAAAUCAGUCAGGACUACCCGCUGAACUUAAGCAUAUCAAUAAGCGGAGGAAAAGAAACUAACAAGGAUUCCCCUAGUAACGGCGAGUGAAGUGGGAAAAGCUCAACUUUGAAAUCUGGUACUUUCAGUAUCCGAA
rnacentral:rRNA from 1 species